rnacentral:rRNA from 1 species
UACGAGAGGCCCAAGCGUUAUUCGGAAUUACUGGGCUUAAAGAGUUCGUAGGCGGCAUGACAAGUCGGGUGUGAAAGCCCUCGGCUCAACCGAGGAAUUGCGCUCUAAACUGCCGUGCUAGAGGAAGCUAGAGGUGAGCGGAACUGAUGGUGGAGCGGUGAAAUGCGUUGAUAUCAUCAGGAACACCGGAGGCGAAGGCGGCUCACUGGGGCUUUUCUGACGCUGAGGAACGAAAGCCAGGGUAGCGAACGGG